GACGAACGCUGGCGGCGUGCUUAACACAUGCAAGUCGAACGGAAAGACCCUGCUUUUGUGGGGUGCUCGAGUGGCGAACGGGUGAGUAACACGUGAGUAACCUGCCCUUGCCUUUGGGAUAACUUCAGGAAACUGGGGCUAAUACCGGAUAGGAGCUCCUGCUGCAUGGUGGGGGUUGGAAAGUUUCGGCGGUUGGGGAUGGACUCGCGGCUUAUCAGCUUGUUGGUGGGGUAGUGGCUUACCAAGGCUUUGACGGGUAGCCGGCCUGAGAGGGUGACCGGCAACAUUGGGACUGAGAUACGGCCCAGACUCCUACGGGAGGCAGCAGUGGGGAAUAUUGCACAAUGGGCGGAAGCCUGAGGCAGCAACGCCGCGUGCGGGAUGACGGCCUUCGGGUUGUAAACCGCUUUCGCCUGUGACGAAGCGUGAGUGACGGUAAUGGGUAAAGAAGCACCGGCUAACUACGUG
rnacentral:rRNA from 1 species